AUUUUCAGAGCACAGGUUGUGUGUGGGCGUGAUGAAUCAACCUCCACAGGUUGGGACUGAGUCUUGUGUCAACAAUGGAAGAGAAUAAAAAGAGAGACUGAUGGAAGAAUAAGAAUGGCGUGAGAAUAAGAGACUUUGAGUGAGAGAUUGAGAGAUUAGAGAGACUGAGAGAUUAAGUAACCAGAGAAUAGAGAUUUGGAGAUUCAAAGUAACCAAAGACUAGGAAGGAGAAGGGGAAAUCCCCCUUACUCACUUAGAGCUUACAAAUCGUCUCUGCCUCUUAUUUAAAUAGGACAGACUGUUUUCUACUAGGGUUUACAGUCAGAUACAUCACACAUGUGAAGUCAAACAAGGAGGAGCCUUAUUUUGAAUUCUAUGGACCAUAAGCUUCACAUGCUUGGCCAAUAGGAAGCUUGGGCGUUCCUGGUCUUUACACAGGCUGUCAUGAGCUGUCUUGUGGACUGAAUAAGCCAAUAGGAGUGAAGACCUUAUCCAUACACGGACAGCAUCUUGCCUGAUCCUUUCCAAGGCCAUCCAAGAUGCCAUUUUGAUCCCUUCUUCAUGUAUAAGGUCCAAAUGAGUUUCUCCAUGCCUUGUGACCCAAGUCAUGACCAGACCAUGCUGUACGGACUUCCUGGCCGUACACAUUGUGCCCUAAGCUUGCACAUUCCUCAACUAUGCUUAAGUGGUCGAGAUGAUAAGUUUUGGGACGCCCUGGUCCGUACGGUCCGUACAGUCCGUACGGCCGUCCGUACGGAUCGCCCUAACUUUCUCAUUAACCAUUGCAGCCUAAACUCCUCCAAUGUUCUCCCAUGUCUGAUUAGAACCCUUCUUGGACAUUGCCCCAAUCUUGUAUCAGCUUCUCAUCACUUCUGAAGCUUCAUAGAACUCUUCUUAAGAUCUUCAAGAGCUUGCCCCUAUAUGUACAAGCUCCAUUCUUCUCUUCAGUUCAACACUCCCCCUCAAGCUUGACUUUAGGAGAUCCUAAGCCAAGCUUGGAACUCUGAAGAGUCUCCCUCAUUAAAAACCUUACAAGGAAAACCCAUUGGGACAAAACCUUGCAAGGGAAAAAGAGUAGAGCUCUUCAAAGCCUAGGGAUUAGCCAGUGAGCUCUUGUGCCUUAGAACCAGUGUGGUUGGACACAAGAAGCUCUGGAUCACGGCCUAACAGGUGCAGCAACUCUUCACAGCUUUGCGCACACUUCACACUUCAGCUUCACCUCUUCAUGGAACCGGUUUGAAGUCUCCCCCUCUCAACUGACUUCACAGCCAUCUUAGAGAGGCUAGGACACGACCAGAUUAUCUUCAAAACACUAGUGAGGCUAAUCAACACUUCACACACGGCUUGCCCUCUUCAUAGAACUGGUUUGGAUCUCCCCCUCUCAACAGACUUCUCAGCCAUCUUAGAGAAGCAGGGAACUGACCAGGAACAUCUUUAGUGAGGCUCAAGCAAUGGUACCUGAUACAUUAUCCCAAAGGUGCAUCAGUACCUAUCAAAAAACAAGAAAAUGAAUAUCCUGCAUCACACUUGAUGCACACAAUCUCACAACUCAAUCAUAAUCAUCUUAAGUAUCUUUUCAAGCACAAGCAAUGAAUAAGAUGAAUGAAAAAGAUUGAAAAGAGGAUUAAAAGUCUAAGGGAACUUCCCUUGUGUUUUUGUGAGUUUCCAAACUCUCUCAAUGCACCACCUUCAUGGCCUCAUCAACUUCUUGGAAAGGCAGAAUGGAUUCAUCAGCUUCUCCUCAAUCACCUCUCAUUGAAGCCGCAUUGAUGGAGAGCCUUCCUCCUCACUUGCCAAGGCUGCUCUGAACAGCCUCUUGCCUAGGCACGCCACUGCCUUGGUCCGGUUGAUGAUCCUUGUAGAAGCUUUUGCAAAAGACUUGUUACUGACCAUGGAUCAUAUGCAUUAAGACUCCCCCUCAAGCUUAGAACCGAAACCAGAAGGAGCUAAGCUUGUGAUGAUCCUAUGCAUCUCCAUGGUCUAAUAACUAUCAUCUUUCAUGAUAGCUUUCUUCUUGUGAGUUUACUCUCUUCCUUAACCAGGAACUAGGGUGUUUGAAUCACCAUAGAGAGUCUCACAAGACACACCUCUCAUUGCAUAAUGACCCAUGCUACACUUCCUGUAGACUAAGGACUAGAUAUGUCCAAUGGUAUUAUGCAAUGGCACAAGACCUUUGUCUUUACAUUCUUGGUUGUUGGUGAGUUACAUGUAUCCCAUUCCUUGUAUACCUAACACCACCACAACUCAAUGCAAGAUCAGAUCAUCCCAUUGGGAUCAAACCAAGAUUAUCCAUCCUGUUUGAUCACCAAUGCCACAAUAAUAUAUGAUACUUGAAACAAGCUAGACAAUCAAGCAAAGACAAUCAAUUCAGUUUUUUUUAAAUGCAACAAUAACUGAAUGCAUUAGGUUACAUACUCACUAUAUGAAUGAAAUAGAUUUAACCCAAAUGAAACACAAGCCUAGAUGAUACUUAUGCAAUCAAGGCGACAAGAGUGACACAAUUCAUUCUUAUGCUCACUAGUUUUAUCAAUGCCAAUGAUCCAAAUAGCUUAGACAUACUUCUAAAUGCUUAUAAGACAUCACUGAUGGAUUUAACUAUGGCAUAGCAACAAUCAGAACUUUAGGCUCAUUUUUAAAUGCAUUACUACAUGAAUGCACAAUCUUAAAGCUUUAGCUAUAUGAAUGCAACAGGUUCAAUCCAUGAGCAAUAUUAAGGCUAUGCACAACAGUUUCAAUCAAAACCAAUGAUGCAAACAACUUAGACAAUUUCUAAUUGAUGCAAGACUUUCAUUGAUGGAUUAAACAUAGGCAAUAGCAUCAGAUAACAAAAGGAUUGAACUUAGACAGUAUGAGAUAUGAUUAUGUAUGCAAAAUAACUUAUCAAUCAUGACGCAAGCAGCAGAGACAUUCUACUCAAUUCUACAACACAUUCAUGAUGAUUCAAGCUAUGACAACACUCAAGACAACGCAAUAAACAAAACAUGAGAUUCUGGGACUCUAGACAUUACUUACUAUCAAUAUGACAAUGCAACAGCAAAACAAUUUCAGUGCAAUUAGCCUAGACAUUCUACUAGAAGCUAUAAACACUUAAUGGAAUUAGGGAAAGCACAUAGUAUAAUCAGGAGUUAAACCUAUCAAGACAUAUUAAGAUAGAUGAGAUUAGGUUUACUCCCUUGGUUAAGAUGAUGAGGAGUGGUUCUCAGAGUUACCACUUGAAUCCUUACUUCUUCUUCUUCUCUUAUUGCAAUCACCCUUCUGAAGUCACCACCAUGAUGGAAUGCUUGUGGAUGCUUCAGCUACUUCUUCAAUCACCUCACAAUAGAAGCCGCCUUGAUAGAGUAGCCUUCUUCUUCACACAGCCAAGAGUGCUCUGUCUUAGUUUGAGCACCCUCUUGAAUAGGCACGCCACUGCCUAGACCCGGUUGGCUUCUUCUUCUGAUACUUGCAAUGUUAAGAAGAAGAGCACGAGUGAGUUCUACAACCAUCUGUGCUUCUCCCUUUCUUGUAACACCUCUCCAUUGUACACACAAUGGGCAUCAUUCUUUCUCUUUCAACUCGGAUUUGAUGAUGAACUAGGAGCACCUUUUGUGAACCUGAAACAUCACUCAAACUCUAGCCAAGAUAAGACACAAUUGCAUUGGGAUCAAUCCUUGACUUCAUCAAGUUUGAUCACCAAUGUCUCAAGCUUUAUAACAUUAGAUAGAAUCAAGACAAUGUCAAGUUCUUAUCUAUGCAAGCAACCAUUCUCUAAAUACUAAGCAAGACCUUAUCAGAUUCAAGUCAAAGUAUUUAGGCAAUUUUAAUCACUCCUUAAUAUGCAACUUAGACUUUAAUCUAAAUGCAACAAUCCAAAGCAGCAACAAGGCAGUAUGCAUUAAUCUUAACAGUUUCUAACUCAUGAAAGCAAGUAUGAUCAGAUAGUAUAAUCUAUCAUCUUAACAAGACAAGUUAAUUUAGAGCUGUCAUUAAGCAUUUACCAUUUUCAAUAGUAUUGAUGUCAAAACUUGAUUAAUAAAUCAUCAAGUUUGAUUCCCAAUAACACAAGCAAUGCAACAGAUAGACACAAGGUAUUAUCAAGUUCUAUUCUUUGCAAGCUAGCUCUCUAAGUACAAGCAAGAUCCUAACAGAUUCUAGACAAGUUACUUAGGCACUUUUAAAACUUCUUUACUCAGCAAUUUAGACAUGAAUCUAAUGCUUCAAUGUAAGACAGCCACAAGACUAUAUGCAACAGCUUUAAAUUCAGUUUCAAUCAAUGUAUGCAAGCAGAUUCACUUAAUCACAACAAGCAUCACUAGGGCGUGGCUAGGACAUGAGAUCCUGGGACACAAGACACUACUCAAUGCAAACAAUGUGACAGCGAAACAACUUCAGUACCAUUAUGCAAGUAGCUUAGACAUUCUACUAGAUGCUACAAUAUUAAUGGCAUUUUAGUUAUGGCAAUCACACAGAACCAACCACACCACACAACACAACCGUUUAAUAAAGACACAAGCUUUAAGCAAGGGAAGGAGGUUUAGCUUACAAACCAAGGAACCUGUGCUGGUUCCUUGAACCUCCAAGGCAACACGCAUCAUAAAUGGACAGGUCUGAGCUGUUGGUUUGAGAACCAACAUCUCCUUCUUUGCCUGGCCUUUCUCCUUGAACCCACCAUGCCAAAAACACCUCCUUUCACCAUGUUUGAGUCGCCACCACAAGACCCAAGUAGAAAGCUUUCUUCUUGAAAGGUUCUUCUUGGACAGAGAGUAGGAAAGGCUUGGACAUGCUUCCAAUGGCCUUCUUUCUUCAGGACGGACAUGAGAGAGUGUAGAACGACCAAGGACAGCUCCUGGACACCAUGGAUGAGCACAUCUUCUUCUUGAAGAGGUUGAACAGCCGGCUGGACCAUGAAGCUUUUUCUUGGCUUGAAAUGGCAUGGGAGUGAGUUUGUGCUUGAGCGGAAGCUGGAACCAAGUUCUGAUGAACCUGGCUCUGAUACCAUAUUAGAUUUUCAGAGCACAGGUUGUGUGUGGGCGUGAUGAAUCAACCUCCACAGGUUGGGACUGAGUCUUGUGUCAACAAUGGAAGAGAAUAAAAAGAGAGACUGAUGGAAGAAUAAGAAUGGCGUGAGAAUAAGAGACUUUGAGUGAGAGAUUGAGAGAUUAGAGAGACUGAGAGAUUAAGUAACCAGAGAAUAGAGAUUUGGAGAUUCAAAGUAACCAAAGACUAGGAAGGAGAAGGGGAAAUCCCCCUUACUCACUUAGAGCUUACAAAUCGUCUCUGCCUCUUAUUUAAAUAGGACAGACUGUUUUCUACUAGGGUUUACAGUCAGAUACAUCACACAUGUGAAGUCAAACAAGGAGGAGCCUUAUUUUGAAUUCUAUGGACCAUAAGCUUCACAUGCUUGGCCAAUAGGAAGCUUGGGCGUUCCUGGUCUUUACACAGGCUGUCAUGAGCUGUCUUGUGGACUGAAUAAGCCAAUAGGAGUGAAGACCUUAUCCAUACACGGACAGCAUCUUGCCUGAUCCUUUCCAAGGCCAUCCAAGAUGCCAUUUUGAUCCCUUCUUCAUGUAUAAGGUCCAAAUGAGUUUCUCCAUGCCUUGUGACCCAAGUCAUGACCAGACCAUGCUGUACGGACUUCCUGGCCGUACACAUUGUGCCCUAAGCUUGCACAUUCCUCAACUAUGCUUAAGUGGUCGAGAUGAUAAGUUUUGGGACGCCCUGGUCCGUACGGUCCGUACAGUCCGUACGGCCGUCCGUACGGAUCGCCCUAACUUUCUCAUUAACCAUUGCAGCCUAAACUCCUCCAAUGUUCUCCCAUGUCUGAUUAGAACCCUUCUUGGACAUUGCCCCAAUCUUGUAUCAGCUUCUCAUCACUUCUGAAGCUUCAUAGAACUCUUCUUAAGAUCUUCAAGAGCUUGCCCCUAUAUGUACAAGCUCCAUUCUUCUCUUCAGUUCAACAC
rnacentral:lncRNA from 1 species